UACGUAGGGGGCAAGCGUUGUCCGGAUUUAUUGGGCGUAAAGAGCGUGUAGGCGGCCAGGCAGGUCCGUUGUGAAAACUCGAGGCUCAACCUCGAGACGUCGAUGGAAACCGUCUGGCUAGAGUCCGGAAGAGGAGAGUGGAAUUCCACGUGUAGCGGUGAAAUGCGUAGAGAUGUGGAGGAACACCAGUGGCGAAGGCGACUCUUUGGUCUGUAACUGACGCUGAGGCGCGAAAGCGUGGGGAGCGAACAGG
rnacentral:rRNA from 1 species